GGGGAAGAGAGGGAAAGGGAAGGGUUAAAAUUGCCAAUUUUAUGUUAUAUAUAUUUAAACCAUAAUCUUUAAAAGUAAUAUACCAAAAGUAAUUCACUCAUAUAAAGUGAAUUAUACACUUUAAAUGAGUGAAUUAUAUGGUUUGUGAAUUAUACCUCAGUAAAAGGAUAUUCUCCAUCCCAACCUAAAACUUCUGUCCCCUCCUCAGAGGCAACUAUUUGUUUCUUAGCUUUCUUUCUAGAAAGAGUCUAGGCAUAAACAAGUGCAUCUGAAAAUCUAUCAUACUUUUUCUUUUCAUACAAAUGAAAGGAAGUGAUACACCAUUUUACACUCUGCUUUUUUUUACUUAAUCUCUCUUAGGUUAUUGUGUAUCAGCACGUGCAGAUUUACUGCCUUCUUUUCCACUUCUACAUAGAAGCCCACUGGAGGGACCUAUCAUACUUUGUUUAAUGAGUUAACUGAGGAAUAUCUUGUUUCUAGUCUUUUUUUUUUUUUUUGAGACAGGGUCUUGCUGUGUCACCCAGGCUGGACUGCAAUGGCAUGAUCAUGGCUCACUGCAGCCUCCAACUCCUGGGGCUCAAGCAAUCCUUUCAUCUCAGCCCCUUAAGUAACUUGAACCACAGACAGGUGCCACUAUGUCUGUUUAUUUAUAUACUUGGUAGAGAUGGACUCUCACUGUGUUGCCCAGGCUGGUCUUGAGCUCCUGAGUUCAAGUGAUCCUCCUGCCUCGGCUUCCCGAAGUGCUGGGAUUAUAGGCAUGAACCACCAUGCCUGAUACCCAUGGUUUUAGGCAGACGCAUGAAUACAUCAUCUAUAGGAUAAAUUCCUAGUUCUGGUGUUGCAGGGUCCAAAGGUUAGCGCGUGUUAAGUAUUACUAUUGCCAAACUGACUUCCAUAGAACCUAUACCAGUUUACUCUUACCAAGAAUUCAUUCACUCACUUUUUUCGUUCAACCAACACUGAGUACCUAUCAUGACCCAGGCACAAUUCUAAGUCUUGGGGACACAGCAAAUGAGCAAUAACAACAGGAAUAAAAAGAUAAAAAUCUAUUCCCUAAUGGAGCUUACAGUCUCACAGAGGGAGAGGGCAAACCAAAAAGUAAAAUAUGUAACAUCUUAGGUGGUAAUAAAUGCUAUGGUUGGCCAGGCGUGGUGGCUCACACCUGUAAUCCCAGCACUUUGGGAGGCCAAGGCGGGCAGAUCAUGAGGUCAGGAGGUCAAGACCAUCCUGGCUAACACGGUGAAACCCCAUCUCUACUAAAAAUACAAAAAAAUUAGCCCGCCGUGGUGGUGGGUGCCUGUAGUCCCAGCUACGCGGGAGGCUGAGGCAGGAGAAUGGUGUGAACCUGGGAGGCGGAGCUUGCAGUGAGCCGAAAACACCCUGGGCGACAGAGUGAGACUCUAGCUUAAAAAAAAAAAAAAUGCUAUGGCUAAAAUAAGGCAGAGAAAGGAGUGUUGGCCAUGGGUAAGGGCUAGUAAUUUAAAUAGGAUAGUUAGGGUAUAAAAAUUCUAAGCCUCAGCUUCCUUAUCUGUAAAGCAGGACAACAAUAGUACCUAUGCUGGCCAGGGGCUGUGGCUCAUGCCUGUAAUCACUGCACUUUGGGAGGCUGAGGUGAGCAGAUCAUUUGAGGCCAGGAGUUCAAGACCAGCCUGACCAACAUGGUGAAAUCCCGUUUCUACUAAAAUUAUAAAAAUUAGCCGGGCAUGGUGGUACACACCUGUAAUACCAGCUACUCGGGAGGCUGAGGCAGGGAAAUUGCUUGAGCCCGGAGGCAGAGGUUGCAGUGGGCCAAGACAACACUACUGCAUUCCCCCCUGGGUGACAGAGCAAGAUUUCAUUAAAAAAAAAAAAAAGCCGGGCGCGGUGGCUCACGCCUGUAAUCCCAGCACUUUGGGAGGCCGAGGUGGGCGGAUCACAAGGUCAGGAGAUCGAGACCACGGUGAAACCCCGUCUCUACUAAAAAUACAAAAAAUUAGCCGGGCGCGGUUGUGAAGCCUGUAGUCCCAGCUACUCGGGAGGCUGAGGCAGGAGAAUGGCGUGAACCCGGGAGGCGGAGCUUGCAGUGAGCGAGAUCGCGCCACUGCACUCCAGCCUGGCGACAGAGCCAGACUCCGUCUCAAAAAAAAAAAAAAAAAAAAAAAAAAAAAAA
ensembl:lncRNA